GAGGGUGUAGCUCAGUGGUAGAGUGCUUGCUUAGCAUGCAGGAGGUCCUAGAUUGAAUCCCCAGUACCUCUG
rnacentral:tRNA from 1 species